rnacentral:rRNA from 1 species
AAACGUAGGAGGCGAGCGUUAUCCGGAUUUACUGGGCGUAAAGCGUACGCAGGUGGCUUCGUUAGUCGGACAUGAAAGCUCCUGGCUUAACUGGGAGAGGUUGUUCGAUACUGCGGGGCUGGAGGUUGGGAGAGGGACGUGGAAUUCCCGGUGUAGUGGUGGAAUGCGUAGAUAUCGGGAGGAACACCAGUGGCGCAAGCGGCGUCCUGGCCCACACCUGACGCUGAGGUACGAAAGCGUGGGUAGCAAACAGGAUUAGAUACCCUGGUAGUCCACGCUGUAAACGAUGUCAACUGGGUGCCGGUAGUUUUACACUAUCGGUGCCGAAGCUAACGCGUUAAGUUGACCGCCUGGGGACUACGGCCGCAAGGCUGAA